CAGUUGCUCAGUGGCAGAGCAUCUGCUUGGCAUGCACAAGGCCCCAGGUUCAAUCACCAGCAUCUCUGGUUGAAAAGGA
rnacentral:tRNA from 1 species